rnacentral:rRNA from 1 species
UGGGGAAUAUUGGGCAAUGGGCGCAAGCCUGAUCCAGCCAUGCCGCGUGAGUGAUGAAGGCCUUAGGGUUGUAAAGCUCUUUCGCCGACGAAGAUAAUGACGGUAGUCGGAGAAGAAGCCCCGGCUAACUUCGUGCCAGCAGCCGCGGUAAUACGAAGGGGGCUAGCGUUGUUCGGAAUCACUGGGCGUAAAGCGCACGUAGGCGGAUUGUUAAGUCAGGGGUGAAAGCCUGGAGCUCAACUCCAGAACUGCCCUUGAUACUGGCAAUCUCGAGUCCGGAAGAGGUAAGUGGAACUGCGAGUGUAGAGGUGAAAUUCGUAGAUAUUCGCAAGAACACCAGUGGCGAAGGCGGCUUACUGGUCCGGUACUGACGCUGAGGUGCGAAAAGCGUGGGGGAGCAAAACAGGAUUAGAUACCCUGGUAGUCCACGCCGUAAACGAUGGAGGCUAGCCGUUGGCGAGCAUGCUCGUCAGUGGCGCAGCUAACGCAUUAAGCCUCCCGCCUGGGGAGUACGGUCGCAAGAUUAAAA